rfam:Streptomyces sp. CMAA 1322 contig02, whole genome shotgun sequence.
CGGCCCCGACCGCCUGCGGACAGAUGAAGUGGACGUGGGCGUCGACGGCCCCCGCCGUGAGGAUCCGUCCGUUGCCCGCGAUGAUCUCCGUCUCGGGCCCGAUCACGAGGUCGGGGUGGACCCCGUCCAUGGUGUCGGGGUUGCCGGCCUUGCCGAUGCCGGUGAUCCGGCCGUCGCGGAUGCCGACGUCCGCCUUGACGACGCCCCAGUGGUCGAGGAUCAGCGCCCCGGUGAUCACGGUGUCCGGGGCGCCCUCGGCGCGGGUGGCCCGGGACUGGCCCAUCGACUCGCGG